GUCCACGCCCUAAACUAUGUCUACUGGCUAUCUCGAGUAUCGACCCUCGGGGUGGCGAAGCUAACGCGUUAAGUAGACCGCCUGGGAAGUACGGCCGCAAGGCUAAAACUCAAAGGAAUAGACGGGGACUCGCACAAGCGGUGGAGCAUGAGGUUCAAUUCGACAGUAAGCGAGAAACCUUACCAGGGUUUGAAAGAAUAAUGAAAGUUUCCGGAAACGGAGACCUUCUCUCAAGGACAUUAUUCCAGGUGCUGCAUGGUUGUCGU
rnacentral:rRNA from 1 species